rnacentral:rRNA from 1 species
UCCAGCAGCCCCCGGUAAUACGUAGGUGGCAAGCGUUAUCCGGAAUUAUUGGGCGUAAAGCGCGCGCAGGUGGUUUCUUAAGUCUGAUGUGAAAGCCCACGGCUCAACCGUGGAGGGUCAUUGGAAACUGGGAGACUUGAGUGCAGAAGAGGAAAGUGGAAUUCCAUGUGUAGCGGUGAAAUGCGUAGAGAUAUGGAGGAACACCAGUGGCGAAGGCGACUUUCUGG